rnacentral:rRNA from 1 species
CCUACGGGAGGCAGCAGUGAGGAAUAUUGGUCAAUGGGCGCGAGCCUGAACCAGCCAAGUCGCGUGAGGGAAGACGGUCCUAUGGAUUGUAAACCUCUUUUGUCGGGGAGCAAAAGACGCCACGCGUGGCGUUCCGAGAGUACCCGAAGAAAAAGCAUCGGCUAACUCCGUGCCAGCAGCCGCGGUAAUACGGAGGAUGCGAGCGUUAUCCGGAUUUAUUGGGUUUAAAUGGUGCGCAGGCGGAAGAUCAAGUCAGUGGUAAAAUUGAGAGGCUCAACCUCUUCGAGCCGUUGAAACUGGUUUUCUUGAGUGAGUGAGAGGUAGGUGGAAUGCGUGGUGUAGCGGUGAAAUGCAUAGAGAUCACGCAGAAUACCGAUUGCGAAGGCAGCAUACCGGCGCUCAACUGACGCUCAUGCACGAAAGUGUGGGUAGCGAACAGGAUUAGAUACCCGUGUAGUC